UACGUAGGGUGCGAGCGUUAAUCGGAAUUACUGGGCGUAAAGCGCGCGCAGGCGGUUUCACAAGCUCGAUGUGAAAGCCCCGGGCUUAACCUGGGAAUGGCAUUGAGGACUGUGGAGCUCGAGUGCGGCAGAGGGAGGUGGAAUUCCACGUGUAGCAGUGAAAUGCGUAGAGAUGUGGAGGAACACCGAUGGCGAAGGCAGCCUUCUGGGCCAACACUGACGCUCAUGCACGAAAGCGUGGGGAGCAAACAGG
rnacentral:rRNA from 1 species